AAGCGAUCGUGAGGAAGGUAUUCGGUGCGGCUUUGGGGGGCUGUUUGUUUCCAGCGAGCGCACUUUAAAUUGUUUCUUUGUUCCCCGAGGUCAGUUGCCUUGAACAGUACGAGAGCCCAGGACUCGAGCGCGCCUGGCGGUUCUGCUUGCAACACCACUGCUGAGGACACGCAGGCUACUGAGGCAGGCUGCCACCAAUACACACAUGGACAGGACAUCUUCAGGGACUGUGAGCAUUGGCUGUGUGAGAUGGUGAGACAGACCAUCUGGCUAUGGGCAGAUUCAUGGCCAUCCAGCAUGACAGGAAUCGCUGUGAGUCCAGGAGGCAUUCCCAGACCCAGGAGGACUGGCAAAUAAUGGCCGGGCUCCUUGCAAUGAUUCUAUGCCUGAUGGUCAUUGGCCCCACUCCUGCCCAGAAGUGGGAGAGGCCAGUACAGAUCCACGCUCCGCCAUCCACCAGUUCACAGUCAAGCUUGGAAAGUCCACCUUAGAGCCAAGGUCUUUCAGUAAGAAAUGAUUAUUGCUUCAAUUGAUGUUUUUUCACAAAUCAUUCAUCAUUACGGUAGUAAAAAGAAAUUCCUCUGUUGUUGUAAUUAUGCAUUGUUAUCUUAUGAAAGCUGUUCUGUGGUUUGUUUAAUUAUGAUUAAUAUUUGGCUUGUAAAUAAAGGUUUAUACUUGC